AUUGAACGCUAGCGGGAUGCCUUACACAUGCAAGUCGAACGGAGUGGCGAACGGGUGAGUAAUGUAACGGAACGUGCCCAGGAGCGGGGGAUAACUACGCGAAAGCGUAGCUAAUACCGCAUACUAUUGGAGCGGCCGAUAUCGGAUUAGCUAGUUGGGGGGGUACCGGCGCACCAAGGCGACGAUCCGUAGAUGGUGUGAGAGGACGCCCAGCCACACUGGAGCUGGGACACGGCCCAGACUCGUACGUGAGGCAGCAGUGGGGAAUUUUGGAAAAUGGGGGAAGCCCUUAUCCAGCCACACCGCGUGUACGAUGAAGGCCUUCGGGUUGUAAAGCACUUUUGGCAGGAAAGCGGUACCUGCAGAAUAAGCACCGGCUAACUACGUGCCAGCAGCCGCGGUAAUUC
rnacentral:rRNA from 1 species